GACGAACGCUGGCGGCGUGCUUAACACAUGCAAGUCGAACGCUGAAGCUCAGCUUUUGUUGGGUGGAUGAGUGGCGAACGGGUGAGUAACACGUGAGUAACCUGCCCCCUUCUUUGGGAUAACGCCCGGAAACGGGUGCUAAUACUGGAUAUUCACUGGUCUUCGCAUGGGGGUUGGUGGAAAGGGUUUUUCUGGUGGGGGAUGGGCUCGCGGCCUAUCAGCUUGUUGGUGGGGUGAUGGCCUACCAAGGCUUUGACGGGUAGCCGGCCUGAGAGGGUGACCGGUCGCAUUGGGACUGAGAUACGGCCCAGAAUACUACGGGAGGCAGCAGUGGGGAAUAUUGCAGAAUGGGCGCAAGCCUGAUGCAGCGACGCCGCGUGAGGGAUGGAGGCCUUCGGGUUGUGAACCUCUUUCGCUCAUGGUCAAGCCGCAACAAUGGUUGUGGUGAGGGUAGUGGGUAAAGAAGCGCCGGCUAACUACGUG
rnacentral:rRNA from 1 species